CCCCGAACCCCGGCGUCUCUCCUCCGACUGACACACCUGGGACGUGCACUCAAGGGCCGGGCUGGGCACCGGGAUGGGACUUGCUGGAUGAGGAUCAGCUCCAAAAUGGCCACAGUGACGCUGAAUGGCUUGGGAAGAAGGUUUUGCAGAGAGAUUUUUUUAGGAGAUUCCUACCCGUAACUCUGCAGUGCUGAUGACAAGGGAACUGCUUGGGUCACAAAGCUGUGGAACAUGCUGAGCACAUGCCACUGUGAAACCCUAAAUUUGUUUUGCUAAGGCACAGCAGAAACAGACCCACCAGCUAUGGAAACUGUCAAAGAAAGAAAGGCUGCUAAGGAUUUUGUUAUGUUAAAAAGAAAACAAACUACAUACACUAGAAUACUUACUUCGCAUUUAUAGAGUGUCCUUCAUCCAGAGACAUCAAAGCACAUUAAAAACACUUAAAUUCUUAUGACAUGCUACACAGGAGCAAAUAUACACACUGGAAAGGACUAUUUGUAGCAUAAUGAUGUCAAACGAGCUCCUCAAGUUCACACAGCUAGCCUGCAGCAGAGCCUGCAGCUGAAUAUCUCCCGGCGAUGCCCCAGCUCCCAUACCCUUCACCAGGCUGCCAGGCUGCGCCUCCCCGGCCGGUAUGGAUGCCUGCUGACUUCUCUUGCCAGAUUCCCCACGUGCGGGCAAGGCUGCUCACUUUCCCCCAUGCUCAAGUUGGUUAGUUUGUGUUUUUAUUUCUUGCAAUUAAGUUUUUUUGCCCACUGAGUUCUUGAAGUCGGCGGAGACUAGAAAUGACUUCUUUUUCUGAAGAGCUGCCAAAUUCCAUCAGGCUGCUCCAGUCCCUAAAGCAACGAGCUGUGUGAUGCUCACCCUGGGUGAAAAGCAGGGAUGUGAGCUUUUCCUUCGGCAGCCCAGGCGCUGCCUUCCCAGAGGCCGACACAGUGGGAUGUACGUGCCCAGCUCUGCUCCUGCUUCCGCUGGGAAGUUUUCCAUUUAGUCUCAGCAAGUCCGCAGGAACUGGCUCCCAUUGUACCAGCAACAUAGCUCAGCAGGGAUGGGCAAUUUGGUUUGAAAAGCAAAACAAAAUAAAUAUAACAGGCUCCAACCUGUGUUUUGUUGCCUGAAACAACGUGAAAGGAUUUGCUUUCAAUCCCCAUCAGCCAACGGGACCUUCUGCAGGGGUUUUCACGGAGGGGAUGGAGCGGACACAGCUGCCAGUCCUUGCCCAGCACCCGUGGGACAUCUCAUGGGCUGUAAAACCUUUCCUUCUGCCUGUCAAUGGCUUCCUCCGCUGUUUCUUUUACACCCACCUUCCCUUCUGGGGACAAACCAGAACCAGGGUUGGAUGUUGUCAAACAGAUCCUUUCAACUGGGGUAUCACUCCUGUCCCGAGAGGUCCAGCCAGAGUGCAAGACACAGAGCAGAGGGAUGCCCCUUGCCUGGGCUGAUGUUAAUUCAGGCUUGUGCAAAUACACUCUCUCAUCCAUCACCGAUUCCCUGUGGGUUGUGUCUGGUUCCCUGGAUGGGAGAACAGAGCCCGGGAGGGACAGGGCACAGGCUGACAGCAUCCCCCGCCUCUGCGCUCAGCCGGCCGCUGACAGCAUUUCCCACCCUGUGAAAGAGCAGCCGGCAGCUGGGCUGGCACAGCCCAGUCGGGGUGCUCAAUAAGGAAAAAUAAAGAAGGAAACGGGGAAUUUGCAGAUAAAAUUGGCUUUUCAGGCAAGAGGCCUGCAGAAAAUGUUAACUCACUGGAAAACUAAAACUGCUCAGUCUGCAUUUCAUUGUUGUACAAAAGGUCAGGGUUUUUCAAGAAAAUAACUCCUCUUCCAUCCAGCUCUGGUUCAGAGCAUGGAGAAGCCUGUGAAGCCAGUGAGCCUUGCAGGGCCACUGCGGCCAAAGAGCCUGAUCCUGACCCCCAGGCACCAGCAGACGGCUCCUCACUGACCUGACAGGCUCUGCAAAAUGAGCUGCAUCCAGAUAAUGAAAAUGGUGCAGGGCAAUGACCCAGGAUGGAUAACAUAUCCCUUUUAAAUCAUGCGAGAUCUUCAACUGUUUUAUUAUUAUACACUUCUGCUGCACAACAACGCAGCUCCACAUCCUUCUCUUUCCCCUCGCAACAGAUCUACUCUGCCCACGAUUAUCCUGACAAGCAUCAUUAACACACACAAGCCACUUGUGCGGCCGGGCUCGGUUUCAUCCUCAGUUUCCCCACUUGCCCCUCUUCACUCUGACUUCUGCUCACAUCUGGACAGGCGAAACCCCAGAGGAAUCUGGAAAACAUCAGACUGAGUUAAAACAAGGCUUCAGACAAUGUCAGGGGCCUUGAUGCCACUGGGACGGUCUGGAAGUUAGGCUGGCUGUGGGUGCUGUGUGCCGCAGCACGCUGGCCGGGCAAGCCCCGUCCUGCCCUGGGGAGGUCUCCCAGGCAUGGGGAUGGGCUCUGUGCCUCAGAUAUCCAUCUUCCCUGGGUGUUAUUUUCACCUUCAAAAGGAAAAUGUCCAAACGUCAAGUGUUGCUAAUGAAAACUGAUACACAUUUUGGAAAUUAACAGCUGCUUGGAGCUAAAAGGGGAGGGGACAAGGAGGGGGGAGAUAGAAAUUACAAAAGAAAGAAGCCAGGAGAAAGGAAAGAAUGCAAUGUAAAAUGAGGGUAGGAAAAAGCCUUUAAAGUGGAGCCAACUUUAUUCAAAGGCAUUGAGGAAAAUAAUUACAUUAGUUUACAAAUGCCUUUGUGUUCUGCAGUCUUCCUAGGUUUGGGGUGUGUUUCCCAUUUAACUCUGACAGUUUACAAACCUACCCUGUCCCUGCUAAGUAUAGCCAGGACUGCAGCUUCUCCUGGCAGUCCCAGGGGUGACCAAAGACAAAACCCACACCAGAAUCUUUGUGAGGAAAGUUUUAUGCCUUCUCCUAGAAGGAAAAGUUAGCAAACAACCUGUGAAUUUAAGUCGUUGAUGAAGGAUCUCUUUGAUCAAUGAAUUAAAGGGGGUGGAGGGGAAAUAUGUUUCUUAUGCCAUGAAUCGCUGUUGGGAAGCAGCAUUCGGUUGUACUCACCCCGAGUACAACACCCCUACCAAAAGCACCCACCAAACCGGGCUGUUUGGGAUGACUGUACCGCUGGGAUGGACUACAAAGGAGCAUGUGGUGUCCUGGCACGGCUCAGCCAAUGGGUGCCAACUUGCUCAGCCAAAACAGCCCCAGCACAUCCAGCUGGGCAAUGUCACCUGGCUUUUGUGAAACCAACAAACUCCAAAACUGGCUGCAAGGCUUUUGCAAAGAGCCCUGUGAGGGCUGUAUGUGCCAGCCUGCGUGCAGCAGUGCCUGAACAUGGAUGUCGCCAAAAAGGGGACCUCAGUGGGUCAGCCACCACUCAGGCACAGCACAGUAAGUCAUCACAUGCAGUGGAAUCCGUUCAAAAUCCAGGCACAAUGGCAUUCUCCGAUUUUCCCCUGUGCCCAGGAGAACACCAUUGCUUCAGGACCGUGCUGGGGGAUUUCACACCCCCAGCAACACACUCCACGUCAACCAGGGAUGUACCACACCAUUGUGGGGAUCUGCCUGCACAAUGAUGUGCAGGGCAGUGUCUGCUGGAGCACGUGUGCGUGCCGUCGCUUGUGGCCCUGUCCCCUGGCUCGCUGUGUGCGAUCUCCCACGAGCUCUGGCUGCAGCGAAAGGAAGGCGGCCAGCGGCUCCAACAAGCCUGUACUGGCCUGGGAGAGCAGGGCUGCUCCUCUGGCUCACUAGCGCUGGCUUUUUAGCCACAUGUCAGGCAUUAAAUGAUCUUUUACACCGAAUACUUAAAAUCAACAGAGAAACUAAUCCAAUGCCUUUGUAUUUCUCUCAUUCCUUCUGGCUGCCCUCGGAAAAGCAAAGGGAAAAAAAAACCCAAACGAGCCACACGCAAAUAACCCUCUCAACAUGUCUGCAAAACGUUGCAAGUGCUCGUACACGUACGCUCACACAUGAACUCCACAGAUGAGAGCACGUGCAAAACUACGAAAUGGGGUCAGUGUGCUUUGGCCCAAGUCUGGCACGUCCUCCUUUUCUGUGGCCGUUAGGAUACAAAGCACUUAUUUAUUUCUUGAAUCAAAACAAACCUUGCAGCAAGGCCAGAUGCUCCAAAACUGAGAGGAGGGCAGGAACUGCUGGCUAGGGCUGCCAAGUACAGGGAUCCAGCUGGGCACACACCCCAGGAGGGGGCCGGGGUCCCCCUGAGACCCCAGAGCCCCAGCUGGCAGAAGACCCUUAUCACCCCCAGAUCCAUGAACGUGCCUCUGUGCCGGCACGCAGUGCUGGGAGGUGGAUGCAAUCCCCGGCGCCGGGCGGUCCGGCACCCUGCAACGCUGGGUUUGCUCUCGGAAACUCGCUCCCCAGUCGCAGGGACAAAGGCAGGGAACAAAGAAAAAAUAAUUUCCCUAAGUGCUAUUUGUUCUGGCACACUCUGCAGCUCUCUGUGCGCUUCUCUCCCAUGGCUAACGGCAGCACAGUCGUUUGAGUGUUGCUGCUCACCAGUUGAGAAUGACAUCCAUUCCUGCCAAGCCUUCGGAGCAGUUCUUGGUCUGUAAGAGAUCCUGCGGAAGCAUUGCUUCCUGCUGGCAUCAAAGAAGAACAUUUGAAUGAAGGCCAUACAUCCUCAAGUUUUAGAAUUGUGCAAGUGCAUGCCAUGAUUUUUCUUUUUUAAAGAGUAAUAGAAUUUGGAUUGAAAGGAGCCAGAAACAGUGCUUUCAAAAUCAUCUGAAAGUGGUCUUUGUGCUGCAAGGCACUGACCGGCAGAGCCACUCUCGCACAGCUCUGUGUCCCCUGGAGCAGCAGCAAUUAUCAUAAUCAUCUGCUGCACUGAUCAUAGCUGAUAAUUCCCCUGGGUCUGCCACUUAAAAUGCUCUUGUAUCUUUAAGUCGUAGGGUAGUGUACUAGAAUAACGGUGCAAGGAGGAAAAGCUGCAAUUGUACACCAGAAUAAAGCUCCAGGACAAGUUAA